rnacentral:tRNA from 1 species
AGCCCGGUAGUGUAGUGGUCAAUCACACAAGUCUUUGGAAUUUGAGACGGAGGUUCGAAUCCUCCUCGGGCUACCA